CCGCUUGAAACACAAACCCUCGGCGCACAGGCCAACGGUGCCCACACACGGUGGGCUCGCUCCGCUCAUACCAGGCAGGAGACAGCAAAAGCAAGGGCUGGGUGCAGGUGCUGGAAUGAGAUACCAAUGGUCUCCGGGACCUCUCUCCUUAUCCCCGCUCUAUCCUGUCCCGGACCAUCUUGAACAUCAGAGAGGGAGAACACACCCCCCCAGGAUGGGCGCUCUGUCCCCUGUGCUGCCUGUGGGGUCUAGACACCAUUGAGGACUUGCCCACUCAGCACAGGACUCCCGCCCACUCUUUGCCCUUUGUGAACAAGGGGAUGGAUCUGCUGCAUUUGGGAGACAUCUCCCUGCACACACAGGCCUCACUGCAGUCAUUCUCAUUCAAUGGAAUUCAGCCUAAAUGACGACGCUUUUUAGACACCCAAUCCCUGUAACAGCGGUCCCUGCGCUAGGCCUCUACCGUGUCUCUUGCCGUCCCCUGCCACCCACUGUGUGGGGGUGCAGGGACGCAGCCUCAGUGGGGAGAAGGUGCCAGUCAGACCACACCCCGGCUGACCUGCCGUGCCACCUGAGAGCCCCCCAGCUCUGGAGUUUCAUUUAUUCCGGGUCAGACCCUGUAAGGCAGAUGUUAUACUAAUUUUACAGAGAAGAAAACUGAGCCUCAAGAAGGUCCCAUUGGUGACCUUGCCAAAGUCAUAUGAGUGCCACGUAGCAGAGCCAGAAUUCACAACAUGGGGGCUACCUCCAAAGCCCCAACCCCGACGCAUGGAUCACAGGCAACAGCUCCCCUCACCGACUGCAGGAGAAAUCACCACCACCACUAACAAGGAGAGAGGAAGAUGAACAUGCAGAACCCCCGACCCUGACUCCGGAAAAUGGCUCCAAAGGCUCUCAGCUGCAGGUCCAUCCUUCCCAUCCAUCCUCCCUCCGCCAGGCCAGAACCCAGGCCCACAGCUCUGAGCUGCAUGUGGGUGUCAGGCCAGCUGGGGAGCAGGGCCUGAUGGCCACAUGUGGGUGUGGUAGGAUUUCUGCCCUAGAGACCUGGGCUCACACAGGGGCAGUGAGCUCACUGUGGUGCCCAUGGGGGGCUGCCCAGCAGAAGCCACAGUGCUGACCUAGCCCACAGCCACCAAGGCCCCUGACAGCAGGUGCCUGACUCUCCUAAUCUAAGGUGCGCCAAGGCCCCUAACACCCAAGAGGAAGAGGAACAAAUGAAUGUGGGAGAAAGAACUGAGCCCAGAAGGUUCAUGGGUCCAGGUACAGGGGAGCCCUUGACAGAAGCCCGGCUCUGCCUGACAGAAGGUGCCGGGCGCCCGCUC
rnacentral:lncRNA from 1 species